CUUUCAAUCCGGCACCGCUCUGUUCUCUUUUCACACACCCUCGCACGUCCACAUUGCUGAGCCUCGCCUCUCUUCUUUACUAAUCUCUCUCUCUACGCAGCUCCUCCGUCUUUUGCAGCUGACGCCAACCCCAAUUCGCCUGUUGCAUGGGACCUUCGCCGUCGUGUGCCUAUCGCCAACUGUUUUCCUCUCGAGGGUGCGCGUGCCGGGGUUUUUUACGCGUUGAGCUCAUUUUUUUCUUUGUCGCGUCAUUUCUUGCUCCGUCUUGGCUCUCCGUGUGCGUUCAUUGAACUUCGCUCCUCUUUUGCGCUUCUCUCCCGCCCCCUCAUCGCCCCCUCUCACCCGCGCCGACACGCCUUUUUCUUCUUGUGUGCUCGCUGCAGCCGACCGACAGAAGCAGCAGCGACUAGGUGUCGUCUGCUGUCUGCUAUGCGGGUCUGGUGCCGACGCCUUCUACUGCUUCCAGAGUCACCGCGGCCUUGGCUGUGUGCGGCAGACCUUCACUCUGAUCUUUCCACCUUCACACCGCCCUAGAUAAGCACGGACAACAAAGGUAGCGCUCAUAGAAGGCAAUUACGUGCACGAUGUCAACCGAUCUCGCGAUUGUGACGACGGUCAGCUCCGACUCCGUCAGCCGCCUCUUCGGACCCGCCGGUGCAAUGGACUUUCGGUCCAACCCGGGCAUGAAGGACGAGUACGAGGAUCCGAAGACGAUCUUCAACAAGAUGAAGCAGAAGGACGUGAAACCGCUGUCCGACAUCAGCGUGUUGAAGGGAACCAUCUACAACUAUAAAAACCGCCGCAUCAUCACGCGCUGGCUGCGUGACGUGUGCGGCGCUUUCAACCUGCGAAGUACCACCCUGUGCCUCGCCGUCCAACUUGCUGACUCGUACAUUGUCGGCAACCUGCACCAGCUUGAGCUGCAGAAGUGCCAGUUGGCCGCUGUCACGGCCCUGUGGAUUGCAGCCAAGUUUGAGGAGAUGGACGCAGACUUGCCGAAUCUGCGCAAGAUAGUGGACGUAUGCGACGGGGCCUACUCUAAAGAGCACGUUCUCGCCAUGGAGGAGGCUAUCCUCAGCUUCUACAAGUGGUACCUGCCCCACACCACGGUGGUGAACCAUGUCUAUUUGCAGCUGCACCUCAUCAAUGACCCCGCCCUGAUCGACUCGCAGCCGGAGGAGAAUGUGCCACCCGUUGUCUCGGUCGAAGUCCUCGUGCUGGACGCGAACGAGGGCCGCACCUGGGUCAGCCUUGUCCUGGAGUCGCAUGUGUCUCUGCAGGACUGCCUCGAUCAGCUGUUCUCCGCCUCGAACUUGCUCUACAGCACCUCGACGUCUGUGUUUCAGCUCUUUGGUAGUUGCUUUCUGCUGGCGGAGCGCCUGCCGCUCACUGCGGUGGUGGGGAACCUCCCAUUGGAUGGCAAGGGCUGCCGUCGCCUCUUCCUGUGCUCCUCGAGCAGCCAGAUCACCUCGACGUUUGCAGAGCGCGGCUCAUACGUCAUCCUGCGUUCCAUCAACUCGGGCUUUCUAGACUUGUGCGACAUCCUCACUCAGGAGGUGGUGACGCACGUGGAGUUUCUUCGCUUGUACAGCUAUGUAACUGCCUUUGGCGUAAUGGGGCUCGCGCUGUGUCUUGUGUCCCCAGACAAGGACGAGAACAGGCGCCUCCUGCAGCACGUGCACAAGAAGCUGGAAAUCUCCGCUACGCAGGGUCUGGCUGUCGCGGACCUGCUUACCUCCAAGUAUAAGGAGGCCCUGCCCACCAUCCGAGAGGGCAAAAGCCUGCCGCGCCCGCCUGAGACCUUCCGCGAUACGCUGUGCUACUGCUUUGAUCGCAGACUGUCCUAAAGCGAAAUAAAAGGAAGUAAAACAUUCACGAGCGACGCUGGAAGUGGAAGAGAUGCACGAUUGCACACACGACUCACAAACAUGUUCCCUACGGUCGAGACGAGGGCUGCGGGGGAGGAGGAGAGGAGGGGGGCUAAAGAACAAGAGCUCAUGGCCGCCGCAGCGGGCGGCAAUCCUACUCUGCAGC
rnacentral:misc_RNA from 1 species